GCCGAGCUUGGUAACGCUUGCUUGUGACCUGUGUGGGGGCUUUAAGGUGAUGGAACAUGGGGCUGGCUUGCAGAAUCGGAUCUGGAGUUGGUCCAAAUCUGGCUUGCCCGUUCCAAGCUAAGAGCUGAACCGAGGGGCUUGAGUGAAAACUUUGGGUCUCGUGGUUCCUAAAGUGGAGGGUACUGCGUGAGGCUGGUUUCACAGAGCAGCGAAGACCUCCCUCUCUUAGCAGUGGAAGGAUAACAGGCUUGAUCCUCUCUAAUCCAACAUGGCUCAGUGAGCUGAUCCUAACUGGACCAUCAUCUUU
rnacentral:SRP_RNA from 1 species